UUUUCAGCUUUGUGAUUUCAAAUCCCCGAGUAAGUGCCUCUCUCAGUGGGCCCAUUGAAGCAUCCUUCACUAAGUUCUUCAUGUCAGAUCCCGAGUACCCUGAGAACAUGUAAAGGGGAGGUAGGUAAAAAUAAAACAGCAUUACUACACGUUUUAGGUCCCAAAAUCUGAGGAGAAGCUUAUAUUGCAAUCAACAACUUUGAGGCACAGACCUUCAGUCAACUUGCAUAUGAUAUAGAAAGUUAGAAAGAAGAUCAAAGAUGGAAGGGUUCUUAAGAGAAUGACAAAAACUGGUGAAUCCUGCACGCACCUGAAGAAGGGAGUGGAAUGUAAAGCCUUUUAGCAAGUCUCCUUCUUGCAGCUUCAUCAAGUUCUUGGGGUCUGUUUGUUGCUCCUGUUUAAGUAACAGAAUCACCUCUGUUACUUCUCAUAAAACAAGGAAACAAGACACAAUAUUGCCCUCGAAGAAGAAAAGCAAUUGCACUUUUACACAUGCCUGAAGUCCGCCAACUACCAUGAAAUCAAGCAAUCAUGUGUAGCUUCAAUUACAAUGGUUGCAGAGUUGAAAAAGGUAACAUAUGUCAAUAGUCUACAUACUUGAAUAUGCAUAUUUUACCAUCUGUUUGCUUCUUAGUGGUGGUUUGUGAUACCUAAAAUUGUUUUGGGAGUUAAACAUUACCUACAAGCAGAAUUUGUUCACUUCCAGUA